rnacentral:ncRNA from 2 species
AACAAACAAAGAGGUUGCAACCAAGAUGAGUCGCAUUGGAGAGUCCACCCAGGACGUUGAACCAGUGUUAAAGGUGCGGUUGCCGAAAGUUUCCCCUCGGGGGAGGGGGAACUUGGGACGUGAAAGAAAAUUUCCCGGACUGUCGUUUUUUAAACGGUGCGCUUUGCUAUCA